AGUGAACGCUGGCGGUAGGCCUAACACAUGCAAGUCGAACGGCAGCACAGUAAGAGCUUGCUCUUACGGGUGGCGAGUGGCGGACGGGUGAGGAAUACAUCGGAAUCUACUUUUUCGUGGGGGAUAACGUAGGGAAACUUACGCUAAUACCGCAUACGACCUACGGGUGAAAGCAGGGGAUCUUCGGACCUUGCGCGAUUGAAUGAGCCGAUGUCGGAUUAGCUAGUUGGCGGGGUAAAGGCCCACCAAGGCGACGAUCCGUAGCUGGUCUGAGAGGAUGGUCAGCCACACUGGAACUGAGACACGGUCCAGACUCCUACGGGAGGCAGCAGUGGGGAAUAGUGGACAAUGGGCGCAAGCCUGAUCCAGCCAUGCCGCGUGGGUGAAGAAGGCCUUCGGGUUGUAAAGCUCUUUUGUUGGGAAAGAAAAGCAGCAGGAUAAUACCCCGCUGUUCUGACGGUACCCAAAGAAUAAGCACCGGCUAACUACGUG
rnacentral:rRNA from 1 species